CCGAGCUCUUGCUUUGCCUAUCGGGUGCCCUAAACCUUCCCGGCGGCGCCGAGCACCGGCCCGACGGGGUCCUAGCGGAUAUCGACGAAUCCACCUGUGCGAACUCGACCGACCCCUAGCUCUUCGCCCCUCUCUUUCUUGCGCUCUUGCCUCUCUUUCCGAAUUCGCUACUUUCUCGCCGAUCGAGGAUUGGGCGUCAGCCUGCUCGCGGUCCGACUAUGUGCGGACAAUUUUUCUUCCCACUAGCGAAUCCACUCUCCACGUAGCGAUCGGCGUCUCCUGAGCUGCGAGGAUACUAUCCGCGAAGGUGACUUCCUCCCCGGCGUCAAUUGGUGGAUAUCUAUCGAUUCCCUUUUGUGAUUGGCUCCCGACUCGCGAGGAGCAAAAUGGCCGUUAACGGGGACGGCUCGGAGAGACUGUGAGACGGCAGCGCGGUGUAGCUCCCGGUGCAGCGACGCCGAAGCUACCGUCCCUCCCUACUUUCGGAGCGGCAUCGUUGAAUCUUCGAGAAAGCAAUUAGUUAAGCGGUUAAUGCGGUCAAGGGGACUCCGAGAGGCGAAACGCCCGUGACAUCCACUCGUCCCCGUUGCUGACCGUUGCGCCGCGGGUGUCGGGUACGCAACUUGUAGGCGCGUAUCUCGCGCGAACUGGCUAUGUCGCUACGCUGGUCGAAUAACCGAUAAAUUAGCCUCGAGUGCUUAGAGUACUUCUGGCGAGUCGUGAUGCCGCGUAACGGGAGCGGUCCUCGAGUGUAUGUAUGACGUUUAUGCUCGAUGAAAACUGGGGGCCGGGACGGCCGGAUAUCCCUCCAGGCAAAUUUAUCCGAGGGCUCGGGGUUUCUGCGCUGUUUCUUAACGAGGCUGACGCCAUUACGAGGGCUUCGCUGCGCCGCAUCCAGCGAAGCGUGAUUGCGGUUUACUUCCUUUUCUACGAGACACGCGAUUGGCUGACUCGGCGGCAAGCUACCGAAUGCGGCCAAUGGCGAGGCCGCCUUGAGUAGGCGGAAAUGGCGUCUUGUAUUGCCUUUUUGAAUUAAAGAUGAUGGAACUAAUGCGUCUACCCAGUAUUAGCAAUUGUUUUUGAGGAUUAUCUUUCUAUUUUUGUCCUUAAUUGACGCAGGCGGAAGGUUUGUAAACUAGUCUCUGCGUAAAAUAUAGAUAGUUACGUUCUAUCACCGAAUCAGGGAUCAAUAAAUGUUUCUUUUGGGAUAACGUUUAAAUGUUCAUCCUGGAACUACUGGGUAUCUAUUUAGGGUGUUGUUGAAUACGGAGUUAUAUUUGUUUUGAAUUUAAUUGUGUAAAUUUCUUUUUAUGAAUACAGUUAUCGACAGAGA